GGCUCAGGACGAACGCUGGCGGCGUGCCUAAAACAUGCAAGUCGAACGAGGUAGCAAUAUCUAGUGGCGAACGGCGGAGUAAUACAUGAACAACGUGCCCUAAAGUCCGGGACAAACGCAGAAAUGCCAUAAAUACCGGAUGUGGUGGAGAGAUGGCAUCAUCAUUCCAUUAAAUGGUUUUUCGCUUUAGGAGCGGUUCAUGGCCUAUCAGGUAGUUGGUGGGGUAAUGGCCUACCAAGCCGACGACAGGUAGCGGGUCUGAGAGGAUGAUCCGCUCGAGUGGGACUGAGACACGGCCCACACACCUACGGGUGGCAGCAGUUGGGAAUCUUGCACAAUGGGGGAAACCCUGAUGCAGCGACGCCGCGUGGAGGAUGACGGAUCUAGGUCUGUAAACUUCUUUUACCAGGGACGAAGAACGUGACGGUACCUGGAGAAAAAGCAACGGCUAACUACGUG
rnacentral:rRNA from 1 species